UACGGGGGAGGCAAGCGUUGUUCGGAUUUACUGGGCGUAAAGGGCGCGUAGGCGGUCAGCACAAGUCAGUUGUGAAAUCUCCGGGCUUAACUCGGAAAGGUCAACUGAUACUGUGCGACUAGAGUGCAGAAGGGGCAACUGGAAUUCUCGGUGUAGCGGUGAAAUGCGUAGAUAAUCGGGAGGAACACCAGUGGCGAAGGCGGUUGCCUGGAGCUUGCUGACGCUGAGGCGCGAAAGCGUGGGGAGCAAACAGG
rnacentral:rRNA from 1 species